rnacentral:rRNA from 1 species
UACGGAGGGAGCUAGCGUUAUUCGGAAUUACUGGGCGUAAAGCGCACGUAGGCGGCUUUGUAAGUUAGAGGUGAAAGCCCAGAGCUCAACUCUGGAAUAGCCUUUAAGACUGCAUCGCUUGAAUCCAGGAGAGGUAAGUGGAAUUCCGAGUGUAGAGGUGAAAUUCGUAGAUAUUCGGAAGAACACCAGUGGCGAAGGCGACUUACUGGACACAUAUUGACGCUGAGGCACGAAAGUGUGGGGAUCAAACAGG